rnacentral:rRNA from 1 species
AUUGAACGCUGGUGGCAGGCCUAACACAUGCAAGUCGAACGAGUGGCGGACGGGUGAGUAAUUUCUGGGAAACUGCCUGCUGGAGGGGGAUCACUACUUGCAACUGUCGCUAAUACCUCCUACCAUCGGCUGUUCCCAGAUGGGCUUAGCUAGUAGGUGGGGUAAAGGCUCACCUAGGCGACGAUCCCUAGCUGGUCUGAGAGGAUGACCAGCCACACUGGAACUGAGACACGGUCCAGACGCCUACGGGAGGCAGCAGUGGGGAAUAGUGCACAAGGGGCGCAAGCCGGAUGCAGCCAUGCCGCGUGUAUGAAGAAGGCCUUCGGGUUGUAAAGGACUUUCAGCGGGGAGGCGUUACCAGCAGAAGAAGCACCGGCUAACUCCGUGCCAGCAGCCGCGGGAAUAC